UUUGACUAAAAGUCUCAUUCUUGGGAUGAUGAGAGAUGAGAGGAAAGGAGGCUAGGGCAAGACAGUGAGAAAGAAAUUGGAAGAGAAGAAGAAAGAGAGUGUGAAAAGAAAGGGCUCAAGGAGAAGGAGAUUAGGGCAUACAAGGCAACAAGAUCCUCGGCAAUCGGUGCUGGACCUCAUCACAUUUGUGAGAAGGGCAUCCUUGCUAAAGAAAGUUUCUCCGAUCAUUCAUGAAUUUCAAGGGAGAUGAUGUCAACAUGAACCAUUAUUACUUGGAAGGCACACUGUACGUCCUACCUUAAUUGCCAUAUAUGUUAGGCCAGGGCCAGGUCCAGCAAAGCUCAAGGAAAAGCCAA